AUAGUGGGAGAAAUUUAGGUUUAGUUUAUUUUAUUUUGGCGAGAAGAGCGCUGCGCAAGCGCGAUUUGAGCAGCGCUCGAGGUCGAUCGAUAGGAGCCGCGAUGGCGACGGGGCAGCUCUUCUCGCGAUCUACGCAGGCGCUCUUCUACAAUUUCAAGCAAAGCCCCAUCCAGCGGAUGCUGGAUUUCGACUUCCUGUGCGCGCGGGAGCUCCCAUCGGUGGCCGGCAUUGUCAAUCCCGGAUCUGAUGGAUUCCAGAAGCUCUUCUUCGGGCAGGAAGAGAUUGCCGUGCCGGUUUAUGGGAGUGUCGUCGCUGGAUGUAAGGCACAUCCCACAGCAGACGUAUUUAUUAACUUCGCGUCGUUUAGGAGUGCCUUUGCUUCGUCAAUGGAAGCUCUCAAGCAACCAACGAUACGAGUCGUCGCUAUUAUUGCCGAGGGAGUCCCGGAAGGCGAUGCCAAAAAGCUGAUAGCGUAUGCCAGAGCAAAUAACAAGGUAGUCAUUGGGCCUGCUACUGUAGGUGGUAUGCAGGCUGGUGCCUUCAAGAUUGGAGAUACUGCUGGUACUCUCGAUAACAUCGUGAGUUGUAAGCUUUAUCGCCCUGGGUCCGUGGGAUUUGUCUCCAAAUCUGGAGGCAUGUCCAACGAGAUGUACAACGUUCUUGCUCGUGCAACUGACGGGCUCUACGAAGGAAUUGCAAUCGGAGGCGAUGUCUUUCCGGGAUCUACGUUGUCGGAUCACGUCCUUCGAUUUAACAACAUACCUCAAAUAAAAUUGAUUGUGGUUUUGGGAGAACUUGGAGGAACGGAUGAGUAUUCUUUAGUCGAGGCUCUUCAACAAGGAAGAGUUCACAAGCCUGUUGUCGCGUGGGUCAGCGGAACUUGUGCGAAGCUCUUCAAGUCUGAAGUCCAGUUUGGUCAUGCUGGUGCCAAAAGUGGAGGAGACUUGGAGUCGGCACAGGGAAAAAACAAAGCUCUGAAGGAAGCUGGUGCUAUUGUGCCAACAUCUUUCGAGUCUUUGGAAGCCGUCAUUAAAGACACUUUUGAGAAGCUGGUUGCAAGUGGUGUAAUUAUUCCUGUGGUCGACGUUACUCCUCCCAUUGUUCCCGAAGACCUUAACAUUGCUGUGAAGAACGGCAAAGUUCGUGCUCCCACUCACAUUGUUUCUACCAUUUGUGAUGAUAGAGGUGAAGAACCGACAUACGCUGGCGUCCCUAUUUCCAACAUUAUUGAAAAGGAGUUUGGCGUUGGAGACGUCAUAUCUUUGCUAUGGUUUAAAAAGAAUCUUCCUCGCUAUGCCACCAAGUUUAUUGAGAUGUGCAUUAUCCUGUGCGCAGAUCACGGCCCAUGUGUUUCUGGAGCACACAACUCCAUAGUCACUUCUCGAGCUGGGAAAGACUUGGUUUCUUGCCUUGUAUCCGGUCUCCUUACUAUCGGACCAAGAUUUGGAGGUGCGAUUGACGAUGCAGCACGCUACUUCAAAGAUGCGUACGAUAGACAACUAAACCCACACGAGUUCGUGGAGACGAUGAAAAAGAAAGGAAUUCGUGUUCCAGGGAUUGGUCACAGGAUAAAGAGCCGUGACAACCGGGACAAGAGAGUCGAGUUCCUCCAGAAGUAUGCUCGUCUCCACUUCCCCUCAGUGAAAUACAUGGAGUAUGCCGUGCAAGUAGAGACGUACACACUGACCAAAGCCAACAACCUGGUGCUCAACGUGGACGGUGCCAUUGGCUCGCUCUUCCUCGACUUGCUAGUCAGCUGCGCCAUGUUUAACCAGCAAGAGAUCGAUGACAUUGUGGAGAUUGGCUACUUGAACGGCCUCUUUGUUCUCGCCAGGAGCAUCGGUCUCAUCGGGCACACAUUCGACCAAAAGAGAUUGAAACAGCCAUUGUACCGGCAUCCAUGGGAGGACGUUCUAUACGCUUGAUAAAAGGGGAGAGACAGACUUUCCCCUAUCUAUUUGAAAAUGGAUUAUAUCGACAGUGCUGGGCUUCAUUGGUGCCCGGCGGAGAAGAAGGUUUGCUUCUCCGAUGAUAACUUCUCAGAGAAAAUAGCAUCCAAACGAUUCUUGUGGAGCUGGAACGCUGGAUUCACCCAAGCUCCACAGCUACACUGUAGCCCCGACCAGUUAAAGCUCCCCAGCCUCGCCUGGCAGACGUUACACAAGAGCUUCCCUUCCACACUGCCAUCUUGAACUAAACAAAGUAGACAGAUCGCAUGGUUUGAGGAGAAAAAAAAGGAUAAGCUAACCUCCAUUCAUCCAUUGCAUUGGCUCCACAAAGAUCGACGAGCACUCGCGCGGUUUGGCCU